UCUAGAACUCAAGAUAUGACUGAAAACUGAACAGUGUUUGAGCUGCAGGACAGGUUCCGACUUCUCCAUUGUUGCUAAGGAUUUGAACUUGAAAACGGCAUAAUUGAGUCUUGGACUCUUCAUGAAAGUUUUAGGUCUAUGUCUUAGCUUUCCAUC
rfam:Populus trichocarpa scaffold_4_contig_189, whole genome shotgun sequence.